UACGGAGGGUGCAAGCGUUAUCCGGAUUCACUGGGUUUAAAGGGUGCGUAGGCGGGCAGGUAAGUCAGUGGUGAAAUCUCCGGGCUUAACCCGGAAACUGCCGUUGAUACUAUCUGUCUUGAAUAUCGUGGAGGUAAGCGGAAUAUGUCAUGUAGCGGUGAAAUGCUUAGAUAUGACAUAGAACACCCAUUGCGAAGGCAGCUUACUACACGAUCAUUGACGCUGAGGCACGAAAGCUAGGGGAGCAAACGGG
rnacentral:rRNA from 1 species